ACACAGUCAUCACAUUGACAGCCCGUCAAUAGCAGCUGGAACUCCAAUUUAGCUGGCAGUUAAAUGCAAAAAUCAUCAGAGAGAUGUAAAAAUGUAAACAACUGCUUAGUUAGGCCACUCUUAUGCUAAAGUAGCACUGGACUUGGAUUUGCCCUACUUUUUCGACGGCCAUUAAACGCACCGAUGCACCGUUCACCGAUGCAAAGAGGGCUGUAUGGAUGUAUUUGGAUGUAUUUUCCCUUAUUUUUCUUUCACCUCAUACUUGCUCCCGAAUGCUGAUACUAUGUAGGAAUGCAUAAAGCAGCUCUUCCGGGUCGCCUUGCUCCGUCAGACAGUCUUCCGCCAUUUUAAGAACCUUCUCCAGAUCCGAGCGUGACUCGUCAAAGCGCUUCAUGAGGCUGCUGUUUGCCUCCAUUCGCUUCCUCCACUCCGUGGCUUCCUUAAACAUGGACUUCACGCACAUGCAAGGUGGACAUGUUUACAGAAAAGGAGGAGUGAGUGCAUCACAAUUUAGGCAAAACAAAGCAGAGAUGUUCACCUGUGAGGAGCUUUGGAGGUCAGCUACUCUCUUCUGCAGGAGACUCAUGUCCAUGUGCUGCAAGGUUUUACUGGCGUCCGUGAGCUUCAGGAUGGUCUGGUGAUUCCUUUCAAUGACGACGAGACACUUCUUGCAGCUUUGUGUGGCGGCCGCCAGCUCCUGCCCAACAUCAGCGUGCCCAAGUUGUCAGCUGCAUUUGGACCCUCUCGCGGUACGACUCACCUGGCACUUCUGUUUGAAGUCCACGGGUCCUUCUGAGUCUGUGCCGCCGGUCACAUGGCUGGCCUUCUCCAAAGCCUGGUAGAAGCCUGUGAUGUUUUUCUCCAUUUCUUCGAGCGGCGCCAAGAGGGACUGAGACUCCUUCAGCAGAGGCAGACAUCGCUCUCUAACCUAAACGGGGUCGCUGGGGUGCUGGAGCCUAUCCCAGCUGUCUUGGGGCGAGAGGCGGGGUACACCCUGGACUGGUAGCCAGCCAAUCACAGGGCACAUAUAGACAAACAACCAUUCACACUCACAUUCAUACCUACGGACAAUUUGGAGUCACCAAUUAACCUAGCAUGUUUUUGGAAUGUGGGAGGAAACCCACAUGCAAACUCCACACAGAGAUGGCCGAGGGUGGAAUUGAACCCUGGUCUCCUAGCUGUGAGGUCUGCGUGCUAACCAGCCACCCUAGGAAGAAGCAAAGCUUAUUAAAUCCUACCCCUCCAUCUGCUAUUUUUACAAUCAGUAACUGUUACAUUUGUUCACUUCCUGCUUUCGUAAUAUAUAUUUUUUUGUUUUUAUCACGUACCAAAGUAGGAGGUGAUAUGAGCAUCCAAUGCCAUAAUGUGUACCAUAGUAAAUGUCAAUAUAGUGAUAUAUAUAGCACAUCAUGACUGGUUCAAGACUCUUCAUCCUUGGAUUUAGCAAAUUUAUUUUAUUUAUUUAUUGAUCAAUUUAUUUUAUAAUUUAAAAAAAAUUGUAGUUUUUAAAUUUUUUUUAAAUUUUGUUUUUUGUCACGUACCGAAGUAGGAGGUGAUAUGAGCAUCCAAUGACAUAAUGGGUACGAUAGUAAGUGUCAAUAUAGUGAUAUAUAUAGCACAUCAUGACUGGUUCAAGACUCUUCAUCCUUGGAUUUAGCUAAUUUAUUUUAUUUAUUUAUUCAUUAAUUUAUUUUAUAAUUUUUUUUUUUUUUUUUAGUUUUUAAAUUUUUUUUUAAAUUUUAUUUUUUGUCACGUACCGAAGUACUCGGUGAUAUGAGCAUCCAAUGACAUAAUGGGUACCAUAGUAAGUGUCAAUAUAGUGAUAUAUAUAUAUAGCACAUCAUUUUUAUCACCUAGUUCCACUGAUGUCAUUCAACCCAGACGUCCUUAUAUGGGCAUGCCCAGCUACACACUAUAAGUGGUUGUCUGUGUAGCAUUAUAGAGUGUGCAUACGGGUAGUGGAGUGUUACCUACAUGCAUGCAUGCACAAUAGUUUGAGAAAAGAUAACAAAAAAACGACCCCAUUUCCACUUCCGAUGUUGUGCCAAGAUUGCCUAGCAGGAAGUAGGAAGCCCGUGCAAGGUUUAAGAACAGAACGUUUAAGAAUCUUAUGCAAAGAUCCUGUAUGUAGAAGCACUGUGGUGUUCUAGCGAAACGUUAUGGGGUCUAUGAGGUGUGGGGGGCGUGGCUUGUGAAGACACAGCAGAGCGCCACGGUCGCACCUUGCUCAGCUGCUCUUUAAUGGAGGCCAUCACCGCCGUCAUCUGAGCCACCUCCUCGGGUGCCGUGUCUUUGCUCAGCAGCUGGGCCGUGCGAGCCGCCGCCUUGGAGGCCGCUUCCAUGGCAGGAACUUUGUGUUUGAUUUCCUGCGGGGAAGUGGAAAGUCAUGACACGUGUGCUACGGGAGAAGCAACGAAGGAAGACAGACGACAAGGCUUUACCUCCACGUCCUGAACAAAUGUGCGCACGUUCAGGAAGGACACUUGGACAGGAGCGUUCAUCUUCCGGUCGGUGGCAUCCAUGAACAUUUUCAAAGUGUUGAUGCCGUCAUGGUAGUCUUGCCUCAGCCUGUCCACCUCGUCCGCUCUUGCAUACUGCCGAAAAAAGCAGCGUGACUUUCAUCUAAAGCGCAAAGCAAGCUUCCAUUGAGAGCAAGGGUACGGCUCAUUUACAUAUUUGACUUUGACAAAGAGCUCCCGCCAUCUCCCGUUCAGGAGCAGAAGCUGCUGCUUGAGGUCUCGGGACACGGCAUCAUCGCAGGUUUCAAUGAGGAAGUUGCCGGCGUCGUUCAUGUCCAUAUGCUGCUGGAUCCAGUGGGACAGGUUGCGGAAGAACUCCUUGAAGGAGGUGGAAACAAAUACUGAUGAUGAUCAGAUGAGCCACUGGGCAAAAACGGCCUGCAUGGCACAGUUUUAAGACCAAAAGCACUGCUGAACAAAAAGAACAUUAAGACUGGUCUCCAUUUUGAAGAACAUCUUGAUGAUCCCAAAGACCUUUGGGAAAAUACCGUGUGGUCUGACCAGACAAAAAAUUAACUUUUUGGCAUUUCAGAAAAAAAGAUCAUAGCAACGGUAAAAUAUGGUGGUGGUAGUGUGAUGGUCUGGGGCUGUUUUGCUGCUUCAGGACCUUUGGGAAAAUACCGUGUGGUCUGACCGGACAAAAAAUUAACUUUUUGGCAUUUCAGAAAAAAAGAUCAUAGCAACGGUAAAAUAUGGUGGUGGUAGUGUGAUGGUCUGGGGCUGUUUUGCUGCUUCAGGACCUUUGGGAAAAUACCGUGUGGUCUGACAAGACAAAAAAAUUAACUUUUUGGCAUUUCAGAAAAAGAAGAUCAUAGCAACGGUAAAAUAUGGUGGUGGUAGUGUGAUGGUCUGGGGCUGUUUUGCUGCUUCAGGACCUUUGGGAAAAUACCGUGUGGUCUGACCGGACAAAAAAAUUAACUUUUUGGCAUUUCAGAAAAAGAUCAUAGCAACGGUAAAAUAUGGUGGCGGUAGUGUGAUGGUCUGGGGCUGUUUUGCUGCUUCAGGACCUUUGGGAAAAUACCGUGUGGUCUGACAAGACAAAAAAUUAACUUUUUGGCAUUUCAGAAAAAGAAGAUCAUAGCAACGGUAAAAUAUGGUGGCGGUAGUGUGAUGGUCUGGGGCUGUUUUGCUGCUUCAGGACCUUUGGGAAAAUACCGUGUGGUCUGACCAGACAAAAAAUUAACUUUUUGGCAUUUCAGAAAAUAAAGAUCAUAGCAACGAUAAAAUAUGGUGGUGGUAGUGUGAUGGUCUGGGGCUGUUUUGCUGCUUCAGGACCUGAAAGCAUGAAUUCUGCUGAAGUAGAAUGUCCACCCAUCUGUUGGUGACCUCAAGCUGAAAGCAACUUGUUGUUCUGCAGCAGGACUACGAUCCAAAACCCACCAGCAAGUCCACGGAACCAAAUUUAGACUUUGGAGUGGCCUAGUCCAAGUCCUGACCUGAAUCCUAUGGAGAUGCUGUGGCAUGACCUUUCAUGCUGGAAAUGUGGAGCCAACAAUUUUGCAAACAUGUGGGCCAAAAUUCUUCCACAGACUCAUUGCAAGUUAGCACAAAAGCUUGAUUGCAGUUGUUGGGGACAAUUGUUUUUUUCACAC